AACGCUGGCGGCGUGCUUAACACAUGCAAGUCGAACGAAAAGAGGGAAAGAGCUUUGCUCUUUCCGGAAUUGAGUGGCAAACGGGUGAGUAACACGUAAACAACCUGCCUUCAGGAUGGGGACAACAGACGGAAACGACUGCUAAUACCGAAUAAGUUCCAAGAGCCGCAUGGCCCAUGGAAGAAAAGGUGGCCUCUACCUGUAAGCUAUCGCCUGAAGAGGGGUUUGCGUCUGAUUAGCUGGUUGGAGGGGUAACGGCCCACCAAGGCGAUGAUCAGUAGCCGGUCUGAGAGGAUGAACGGCCACAUUGGGACUGAGACACGGCCCAGACUCCUACGGGAGGCAGCAGUGGGGAAUCUUCCGCAAUGGACGAAAGUCUGACGGAGCAACGCCGCGUGAGUGAUGACGGCCUUCGGGUUGUAAAGCUCUGUUAAUCGGGACGAAUGGUUCUUGUGCGAAUAGUGCGAGGAUUUGACGGUACCGGAAUAGAAAGCCACGGCUAACUACGUG
rnacentral:rRNA from 1 species